AUACGGAGGAUCCGAGCGUUAUCCGGAUUUAUUGGGUUUAAAGGGUGCGUAGGCGGCCUUUUAAGUCAGCGGUGAAAGUCUGUGGCUCAACCAUAGAAUUGCCGUUGAAACUGGGAGGCUUGAGUAUGUUUGAGGCAGGCGGAAUGCGUGGUGUAGCGGUGAAAUGCUUAGAUAUCACGCAGAACCCCGAUUGCGAAGGCAGCCGGCCAAGCCAUGACUGACGCUGAUGCACGAAAGCGUGGGGAUCAAACAGGAUUAGAUACCCUGGUAGUCCACGCAGUAAACGAUGAUCACUAGCUGUUUGCGAUACAGUGUAAGCGGCACAGCGAAAGCGUUAAGUGAUCCACCUGGGGAGUACGCCGGCAACGGUGAAACUCAAAUGAAUUGACGGGG
rnacentral:rRNA from 1 species